rnacentral:rRNA from 1 species
CGCCCGCGUGAGGGGACGAAGCCCUUUCGGGGGGUGUAAACCUCUGUUGUGAGGGACGAAUAAGAUCUGGAGGAAAUGCCAGAUCGAUGACGGUACCUCACGAGAAAGCCCGGGCUAACUACGUGCCAGCAGCCGCGGUAAUACGUAGGGGGCGAGCGUUACCCGGAUUCACUGGGCGUAAAGGGGGCGCAGGCGAUCCAGUAUGUCGGGUGUGAAAUCCCACAGCUCAACUGUGGAAUUGCGCCCGAAACUACUGGGUUUGGGGCUGGUAGAGGGAGACGGAACUGCUGGUGUAGGGGUGAAAUCCGUAGAUAUCAGCAGGAACGCCGGUGGGGAAGCCGGUCUCCUGGGCCAAGCCCGACGCUGAGGCCCGAAAGCUAGGGGAGCAAACCGGAUUAGAUACCCGGGUAGUCCUAGCCGUAAACGAUGCCCACUAGGUGUGGGGGAGUCAUUCCUCCGUGCUGUAGCUAACGCGUUAAGUGGGCCGCCUGGGGAGUACGCCCGCAAGGGUGAAACUCAAAGGAAUUGGCGGGACCCCGCACAAGCGGUGGAGCGUGUGGUUUAAUUGGAUGCUAAGCCAAGAACCUUACCAGGGCUUGACAUGCAGGUGGUACCAACCCGAAAGGGAAGGGACCCUUUCCUUUUGGAAAGGGAGCCUGCACAGGUGGUGCACGGCCGUCGUCAGCUCGUGCCGUGAGGUGUUGGGUUAAGUCCCGCAACGAGCGCAACCCCUGCCCUUAGUUGCCAGCGGUUCGGCCGGGCACUCUAAGGGGACCGCCGGCGACGAGCCGGAGGAAGGAGGGGACGACGUCAGGUACUCGUGCCCUUUAUGCCCUGGGCUACACACGCGCUACAAUGGGUGGUACAGUGGGUCGCGACCUCGCGAGAGGGAGCCAAUCCCCAAAACCAUCCUCAGUUCAGAUCGCAGGCUGCAACCCGCCUGCGUGAAGCCGGAAUCGCUAGUAAUCGCGGAUCAGCCAUGCCGCGGUGAAUACGUUCCCGGGGUU